rfam:Sistotremastrum suecicum HHB10207 ss-3 unplaced genomic scaffold SISSTscaffold_30, whole genome shotgun sequence.
GCCCGAAUGGCUCAGUUGGCUAGAGCGCAGGUCUCAUAUGGCAGCGUAUGAGGGAGCAUCUGUUCCUGAUAUCCUGAGGUCGCAAGUUCGAGCCUUGCUUCGGGCA